rnacentral:rRNA from 1 species
GAUGAACGCUGGCGGCGUGCCUAAUACAUGCAAGUCGAGCGAACAGACGAGGAGCUUGCUCCUCUGAUGUUAGCGGCGGACGGGUGAGUAACACGUGGAUAACCUACCUAUAAGACUGGGAUAACUUCGGGAAACCGGAGCUAAUACCGGAUAACAUGUUGAACCGCAUGGUUCAACAGUGAAAGACGGUCUUGCUGUCACUUAUAGAUGGAUCCGCGCCGCAUUAGCUAGUUGGUAAGGUAACGGCUUACCAAGGCAACGAUGCGUAGCCGACCUGAGAGGGUGAUCGGCCACACUGGAACUGAGACACGGUCCAGACUCCUACGGGAGGCAGCAGUAGGGAAUCUUCCGCAAUGGGCGAAAGCCUGACGGAGCAACGCCGCGUGAGUGAAGAAGGUCUUCGGAUCGUAAAACUCUGUUAUUAGGGAAGAAUAAAUGUGUAAGUAACUAUGCACGUCUUGACGGUACCUAAUCAGAAAGCCACGGCUAACUACGUG